GUUAAACGUUACUCGAUUCAGUCUGCCUGUCUGUGACGUCAUCAGUACGCAGCGGCAGCCGCGCAAAACUCUGAACAACAACAAAACACAGCGUGGAGGAGACGACUGCGAGCGAGACAUUUACAAACCAACUUAUCGAUCCAGCGCGUGGAAACAUUUUGGCUUUUGCAAACACGGAGGUGUUCUAAAUAAGUCGGUCGCUGUUUGUAGAAUAUGUAGAAGCCAAAUAAAAAACCACGGAAACGAGACGAAUCUUUCCAGGCAUCUACUAAGGCGCCGUGGGAUUAAACAACGCCGACAGUCAGGACCUCUAGCAGCGGAAGAAGGUAACUCCAGCUCUGCAGACACCUCAGGCCUCGCCAGCACCAAACUCAGCAUCACAGUAACAAUUGCCAAGUUUAUCUGUAAAGACAUGCGACCCUACAAUGAGGUUGAAAAUUCGGGGUUCUGUAAAUUGAUCCAAACAUUGUGUAAUUAUUGUGUAAUGUUUACAUUGAAAAUGGCACCUGAUUCAAAUAAAAGGUUAAUACAUUUGCCAUUAAUUGUUGUUUGCUUGUUUAUAAUAUCCAUAAUUAAUUUAAACCUGAUUUUCUUACAAGAAACAACAGGGAUCUCAGCACUGCCUGCACUGUCCAGUAAAGUUACUGAAUCGAUUUCAAGUCACUGAAUCGAAUCGAAUCGUUCUAAAUUAAUCCAGAUCGUCCAUGAAUCAAAUCGGCAACCAUGAAUCGCGAUUCGAAUCGAAUCGUUGUUAAAAUGAAUCGUUACACCCCUAAUAACUACAUUUCCCAUGGUGCAUCGCGAGCGAGCACGCCUCUGGGGUUUUCUGUAUAUAAUAUAUAGACGCCGCAUUGGCUUCUUGUCGCGAGAAAUACGGCCGCCAUCUUGGAGCGGUCGUGCUCGUAGUUGCGUAGCAGCAGAAGAUGCAGGAGGCCACAGCACUGUGCUGCUUAUUUCUGCGCUAAUCGGCGGACCAUCGCCAGCAGGGCUCGGGGGAUAACCUUUCACAAGUGCUGAGAGCUGCAGAGAGGGUGAUCCGCCGAGCUUCAACAACACAAGCUCCUAAGCUAAGGCUGCACCACAUUGCCAAACUCACCACUCUGGAACUGCAAAAAGGGAGCACGAGAAAGAAGCUCUGCAAGACAGUCCUAUUCCAGGGGUUUUAGUGUGUGUGUGUGUGUGUGUGUGUGAUAGUUAGUUAGUUAGACCCUCUUUGGUGCAAACACCCGGCGUUCUGUUGAAGAUAUUUGUGUGUGCUUGCAAAUAUUCAAUUCAUUUUAUUUCUAAUUCUAUAUUGUUUUUUAACGUAUUAAAUGUCUG
ensembl:lncRNA